rnacentral:rRNA from 1 species
GGCUCUCUGGAAUGUUACUGACGCUGAGGCACGAAAGCUGGGGGAGCGUACAGGAUUAGAUACCCUGGUAGUCCCAGCCGUAAACGGUGCGCACUUGGUGUAGGGGCCUUGACCGUCCCUGUGCCGUAGCUAACGCGUUAAGUGCGCCGCCUGGGGAGUACGGCCGCAAGGCUAAUACUCAAAGAAAUUGACGGGGACCCGCACAAGCGGAGGAGCAUGUGGCUUAAUUCGAUGCAACGCGAAGAACCUUACCAGGGCUUGACAUGCAGCUGCACGCCCCGUGAAAGCGGGGAAGCUUUCGAAGGUGCUGCACAGGUGGUGCAUGGCUGUCGUCAGUUCGUGCCGUGAGGUGUUGGGUUAAGUCCCGCAACGAACGCAACCCCUAUGUUUAGUUGCCACCGCAAGUGAUGAGCUUGCGAGCACUCUAGACAGACUGCCCGUACAAGCGGGCCGAAGGUGGGGAUGACGUCAAGUCAGUAUGUCCCUUAUGUCCUGGGCUGCACACGUGCUACAAUGGUCGGUACAAUAGGAAGCAAAGCCGCGAGGCCGAGCAAAUCCCCAAAGCCGGCCAUAGUUCGGAUUGGAGUCUGCAAUUCGACUCCACGAAGCUGGAUUCGCUAGUAACGGCGCAUCAGCCACGGCGCCGUGAAUACGUUCCCGGGUCUUGUACACACCGCCCGUCACAUCAUGAAAGCCGUCUGCACCCGAAGUCGCUGGACCAACCCGCAAGGGGGGAAGGCG